GGGUUGUGAGGUUAAGCGACUAAGCGUACACGGUGGAUGCCCUGGCAGUCAGAGGCGAUGAAGGACGUGCUAAUCUGCGAUAAGCGUCGGUAAGGUGAUAUGAACCGUUAUAACCGGCGAUUUCCGAAUGGGGAAACCCAGUGUGUUUCGACACACUAUCAUUAACUGAAUCCAUAGGUUAAUGAGGCGAACCGGGGGAACUGAAACAUCUAAGUACCCCGAGGAAAAGAAAUCAACCGAGAUUCCCCCAGUAGCGGCGAGCGAACGGGGAGCAGCCCAGAGCCUGAAUCAGUGUGUGUGUUAGUGGAAGCGUCUGGAAAGGCGCGCGAUACAGGGUGACAGCCCCGUACACAAAAAUGCACAUAUUGUGAGCUCGAUGAGUAGGGCGGGACACGUGGUAUCCUGUCUGAAUAUGGGGGGACCAUCCUCCAAGGCUAAAUACUCCUGACUGACCGAUAGUGAACCAGUACCGUGAGGGAAAGGCGAAAAGAACCCCGGCGAGGGGAGUGAAAAAGAACCUGAAACCGUGUACGUACAAGCAGUGGGAGCCUCUUUUAUGGGGUGACUGCGUACCUUUUGUAUAAUGGGUCAGCGACUUAUAUUCUGUAGCAAGGUUAACCGAAUAGGGGAGCCGAAGGGAAACCGAGUCUUAACUGGGCGUUAAGUUGCAGGGUAUAGACCCGAAACCCGGUGAUCUAGCCAUGGGCAGGUUGAAGGUUGGGUAACACUAACUGGAGGACCGAACCGACUAAUGUUGAAAAAUUAGCGGAUGACUUGUGGCUGGGGGUGAAAGGCCAAUCAAACCGGGAGAUAGCUGGUUCUCCCCGAAAGCUAUUUAGGUAGCGCCUCGUGAAUUCAUCUCCGGGGGUAGAGCACUGUUUCGGCAAGGGGGUCAUCCCGACUUACCAACCCGAUGCAAACUGCGAAUACCGGAGAAUGUUAUCACGGGAGACACACGGCGGGUGCUAACGUCCGUCGUGAAGAGGGAAACAACCCAGACCGCCAGCUAAGGUCCCAAAGUCAUGGUUAAGUGGGAAACGAUGUGGGAAGGCCCAGACAGCCAGGAUGUUGGCUUAGAAGCAGCCAUCAUUUAAAGAAAGCGUAAUAGCUCACUGGUCGAGUCGGCCUGCGCGGAAGAUGUAACGGGGCUAAACCAUGCACCGAAGCUGCGGCAGCGACACUAUGUGUUGUUGGGUAGGGGAGCGUUCUGUAAGCCUGUGAAGGUGUACUGUGAGGUAUGCUGGAGGUAUCAGAAGUGCGAAUGCUGACAUAAGUAACGAUAAAGCGGGUGAAAAGCCCGCUCGCCGGAAGACCAAGGGUUCCUGUCCAACGUUAAUCGGGGCAGGGUGAGUCGACCCCUAAGGCGAGGCCGAAAGGCGUAGUCGAUGGGAAACAGGUUAAUAUUCCUGUACUUGGUGUUACUGCGAAGGGGGGACGGAGAAGGCUAUGUUGGCCGGGCGACGGUUGUCCCGGUUUAAGCGUGUAGGCUGGUUUUCCAGGCAAAUCCGGAAAAUCAAGGCUGAGGCGUGAUGACGAGGCACUACGGUGCUGAAGCAACAAAUGCCCUGCUUCCAGGAAAAGCCUCUAAGCAUCAGGUAACAUUGAAUCGUACCCCAAACCGACACAGGUGGUCAGGUAGAGAAUACCAAGGCGCUUGAGAGAACUCGGGUGAAGGAACUAGGCAAAAUGGUGCCGUAACUUCGGGAGAAGGCACGCUGAUAUGUAGGUGAAGUCCCUCGCGGAUGGAGCUGAAAUCAGUCGAAGAUACCAGCUGGCUGCAACUGUUUAUUAAAAACACAGCACUGUGCAAACACGAAAGUGGACGUAUACGGUGUGACGCCUGCCCGGUGCCGGAAGGUUAAUUGAUGGGGUCAGCGCAAGCGAAGCUCUUGAUCGAAGCCCCGGUAAACGGCGGCCGUAACUAUAACGGUCCUAAGGUAGCGAAAUUCCUUGUCGGGUAAGUUCCGACCUGCACGAAUGGCGUAAUGAUGGCCAGGCUGUCUCCACCCGAGACUCAGUGAAAUUGAACUCGCUGUGAAGAUGCAGUGUACCCGCGGCAAGACGGAAAGACCCCGUGAACCUUUACUAUAGCUUGACACUGAACAUUGAGCCUUGAUGUGUAGGAUAGGUGGGAGGCUUAGAAGUGUGGACGCCAGUCUGCAUGGAGCCGACCUUGAAAUACCACCCUUUAAUGUUUGAUGUUCUAACGUUGACCCGUGAUCCGGGUUGCGGACAGUGUCUGGUGGGUAGUUUGACUGGGGCGGUCUCCUCCUAAAGAGUAACGGAGGAGCACGAAGGUUGGCUAAUCCUGGUCGGACAUCAGGAGGUUAGUGCAAUGGCAUAAGCCAGCUUGACUGCGAGCGUGACGGCGCGAGCAGGUGCGAAAGCAGGUCAUAGUGAUCCGGUGGUUCUGAAUGGAAGGGCCAUCGCUCAACGGAUAAAAGGUACUCCGGGGAUAACAGGCUGAUACCGCCCAAGAGUUCAUAUCGACGGCGGUGUUUGGCACCUCGAUGUCGGCUCAUCACAUCCUGGGGCUGAAGUAGGUCCCAAGGGUAUGGCUGUUCGCCAUUUAAAGUGGUACGCGAGCUGGGUUUAGAACGUCGUGAGACAGUUCGGUCCCUAUCUGCCGUGGGCGCUGGAGAACUGAGGGGGGCUGCUCCUAGUACGAGAGGACCGGAGUGGACGCAUCACUGGUGUUCGGGUUGUCAUGCCAAUGGCACUGCCCGGUAGCUAAAUGCGGAAGAGAUAAGUGCUGAAAGCAUCUAAGCACGAAACUUGCCCCGAGAUGAGUUCUCCCUGACCCUUUAAGGGUCCUGAAGGAACGUUGAAGACGACGACGUUGAUAGGCCGGGUGUGUAAGCGCAGCGAUGCGUUGAGCUAACCGGUACUAAUGAACCGUGAGGCUUAACCUUACAACGCCGAAG
rnacentral:rRNA from 1 species